UUCGUAGACAAUGUAAGACCCUAGAAAUUUGAUACCUUCAACUAAUUCAAGCCAAGGCACACAAGUUUCAGGCCAAGGCAUCGAAGGAAACAACCAAUAUCGGUGAACCAGUUACAAAAAGUGCGAUCGGCCAAGACGAGGAUGUUGGACUGAUCGUGAAGAUGUUGCUCUCAUUGCCGGACUAAAGGAAUUGGUUGCUAUCUGCUGGAAAUCGGAUAAUGGAUUCCGUUCAGGGUAUCAAAAGAAGCUCGAGCUAUGGAUGAAGAAAGAAUUCCCUAGCACUGAUCUGAAAGGUAAUCCUCGCAUUUCUUCGAAAAUAUCGGCAUGGAAGAAAUCAUACUACUCACUUUCCCAAAUACUCGAGAGGAGCAGUGUUGGAUUUAACGAGAAUGGAAAAUUCAAAAUUGAUUGUGACGAUGAUCAAUGGGAUCAGAUUGUAAGGCACGACAACAAUGCUCGAGGUAUGUGGUGGAAGUGGUGGCCAUAUUGGAAUGAUUGGAAGUUCAUUUUUGGUAAGGACGACACAGGUCGAACAGAACGUCCAACAAGAGGACAUAGCUGCUGACAAUGACGGUUUCAGUGAUUACCAUGUCUUCUUGGACGACAUGUAUGCCGACCAAAAUGUCAACAACUUUACUGGAGGAUCCGAGGGUGGAGAACACAGUACUUCUACCACCCAAACCCCAAAGGAGCCCUCAAGGCUACUCGUAAGCGCAAAGGGACAGAAGAGGGUGAAGGGUUGCUCAAACUUCUUGGUACGUUACAUGCCGAGACAACACGCAUUGGAUAUGGCAUGGACCUCGGCAAAGCUAGAUCAGAAAUCUUCCGUCACCUUGAUGAGAUGCCGUGUCUGACCGAUGCUCAAAGGUACGAUCUAUGUGAUAUAAUCGGGAAAGAGAACUCCAGGCUUGAGAUUUUUAUGAUGUGAAGAAACCUGGUUAUGUGCUUCGAAACACCUCGGGUGAUACUUGGUGAUGCUCUCCUUAUUUGAAAAAAUCAUUUUGGCAUCUUUUGGACAGACUUGAACCCCUUUUGGCUGAAAUAUCUUUUUGCUUAUAUUUUGGAAGCUAAGUCUCGACUUAAAAAACUUUCAACUUAUGCUUUGUUUCAGCUUGUUGCUUAGGCGAUUCAGACUUGGUGUGUUUAUGAAUGUUAUUUCUGUUUAUGUUUAUUCAGACAUGUAGCGUGGGGAAAGUUUCUUAUCUGCAAUCCAUUUGUGAAAAAAUUAAUGCCAUUUGAUGAGAGGCAAGUGUUACUUUUUUUUUAUAAUGUGUACGUCUUUUGCUGAACUGAAAUCCUCCUGUAAUGUCUUCUUCAUGGUGUGCCUCUUCCUAUCUGUCUUCGCAGUAGCUAUUGAAAUCGAGGGCAUGGUUUGCCACACCAUAUUGCUGCAAUCUUUCUAAAGCUUGUAAUAUUGCACUUGACAUUUGUUUUGAUAUUCGAAAUGAGUGAUUAAUAUUUCAUUUAUUUGCUCGAUCUAAGGCAUCCCCAAUAAUUCUUGUAAGAAAAUCUAGCUGAUUGAUACGUUCAGAUUUUGCACGGUUUUAAGGCCAUUAUUUGAUCCUUUUUGAAUGUCAAAGUUGCAUUACAUGUCCAUUAUUUGUAUAUUUUAUAUAUUUUGGUAUUUUGACAUGUUUUGUGAGAAAUGUGCAUAUUUGAGCUUAAAAAGGGAGUCAAAACGCGAAGUAGGAAAUCUGGAGUUUCAGGUAGCGUCCAGUGACCGCUACAACACUGCCGGCGACCGCCGGUGCUCAGCGGCCACCACUUCUGUAGCGGUCCGUUUCGGGAAAUCUAUGCAUGGAAUGAAGACACGCCCGGCGACCGCCGGGAGAUGCGUGGCGACCGCCACCCAAGAGGCAGAAGCCUCGGAUCAAUGCAUGACGACCGUCGGCCAAGGUGCGGCGGUCCGCCACAAAAGAGCGGCGAGCUGAUUUGCCAUAACUUCUCUCCAAGAUUUACCAUACUUUGCAACCAUUUUCCUUAUUUGAGAAGAGGCGAAUUUCUCCCUAUAUAUACCCCCUCAAGCUUCAUCAAAUCCGUCCUCUUUUUGCAACAUAUUUUCUAGAGAUUAAAAGUUAGAGUGCUUCAUUGUGCAAUGAGUUGAAGAAGGAUUCAAGAGCAUCAAAGCUACAAAGAUUCAACUUUUGAGUUUUAUUUGCUUUAGUUUUAUGUUUUAA